ACAUUGAGGUUUUAGUUGUGGUGCAUGCAGUAGUUUGGAUGCAUUUUUGGUCAUUUUUACAACGUUUGUUCAUAAUGUUGUGCUAAAAAAAGUUGAUGAAUAUCAAGAAAAGAUGGAAUUAUUGUGCAAUUAUCGAUUAUAACAAGAUCAGUGCCCAAAGUUCUACAGAAUCAGACCAUCCUCUUUUGCUUCUCAGAGAUACGUUGAAUCCAACGUCGCCAAGGAACUUAAAAUUCGCAUCGUUUAACUGCUCCUGCCAUUCCAAAAAACAAAUUGCGUACUCUUUCUUUGACUCAAUUUUUUGAGAAUUUUUUCUACGCAAUGGAAUCAGAUGAAUUCUUUUAAAAUUAAUAAUUGUUAGGG